ACUAAAACACAUUUGUGAGAGAAGUCAGGAACUUUGGAGAAAGAUUCUAGAGGAAAAAAAAACACAUUUACUGCAACAAUAGAUGAAUUCUAGAGUCUCUGAGAACUACACAUGCUAAUGGAGUCUCAUGAGCAAGACCUUUGCCUCUGUAACUUUUUCUUAAUUCUUUAAUUUUUAUUGCAGUAUUUUAAUUUGUACAGAUGAUCUCAUCAGCCAAAUGAGGGGUUUUGACCAAGUGAUGCUCUUGAAAGGAGUGAAAGAAGAGGAUGUGCUAAAUUCUCUUCAGAGAAAAAGCUUCUCAAAAGGUCUCAAACCAGCUUGAAGAAUGGUCUGGGAUGUUAGGACUGAGAGAUCCUCUGGCUGAGAGAAGCUACACCACAUCAGUGCUGGAUAUCAACCACAAACUGUUUCCAGACACGAGAGAAGAAGAACACGAUGGGGAGAUGAAACCAGUUUAGAUGUGAUGAUGGGAAUCAUUAUUUUCUGGAACAGUAUCACAUGUCUUAUAUGUAUCACAUGAUCUGUAUCACAGUUGACUGGAUGGGACUGUGACUUUUAAGGACAUUUCAUCACUCAUCUGUGUGAACUGAUUUAUAUAUGAGGUUAAUGUAUUUUUGAUGAUAAUUAUUUUCAUUGAAUCUUAUUUGUCUUGAUGCUACUUUAUCAACUUUAUAGUUUAUGCUUCAAUAAAAUGAAAAUGGUGAA